rnacentral:lncRNA from 1 species
AGAAGCUCAUUACCCAUCAUCCUUCAUGGCUGUUGGGCAGCAGGAUCUGGAAACCAGACAGGCCCUUCCCUCACUCAGCUCAAGAUCUUAAUAACGGCAGUGGGGAGGGAAGGAAAAGAAGAAGAAAGGAGAGGAGGGGAAAGGGACGAGGUUUCACUUGGAGUGACCUCCGUUCUGCUCUGUGCCCAUCUCCUAAGUGAGGCCGAGGAGCUAAGAGGCAGGGUCUUGGCCCUGGAGACUGAGGACGUGUGUUUGGACUCCAUCCGUCCUCUCACCCGGACCUCCCCUUCGUACCCCGGUUUCCUCACCCAUCAGCCAAGGCCCCUGUGCACUGAGGCUGACUCCUGGAUGUGCUGGGCCCGUGGUCAGCACUGGCCGCUCUGUGGAUCCACGCCUCUGCUCUUUCCCUGCUGUCCAGGAUCACUCCUGCCCCUGCCCCUCUGAGUCCCUGGCACUGAGAACAGGUGAGUGGGUGGUGGAGUGGCUCCACCUCUGCCACAACCCCUUACACCCGCCAUAGCCCCCCAUUCCUGGACGUGGCUGUCUCUCUCAGGCAGAUCUUGACCUGCUUGGUUCUGCAGCCUGACCCUCCUGACCAGUGAUUCCUGCCCCU